ACCAUGGCGCAGAACAUCGUCAUUCCGUCUUCCUCAGGUGCAAGCAAUCGCAGGAUGGUUGAGACUUUACAGUCUUCUGACAGCUCUGCCCACAUGAGUGCCGCAUGCACAUGUGAAACAGCUAUCAUUAAAACUGCGCUAGCAGCUAAGGAGUAAAAAGGAAAACUUAACCAAAGCCGUGACAUCCCCUAAAGGAUAUAUUUCACCAACGCGAUGGAGCUGCUGGAACCUGGGCGGCCAGAUGCAAAUGACCCGAGCAAAGCCGCCUCCUCAUUGGCCAG
rnacentral:lncRNA from 1 species